GACGUAGGGGACGAGCGUUGUCCGGAUUCAUUGGGCGUAAAGAGCGCGUAGGCGGUUUGGUAAGUCGGACGUGAAAAUCCGGGGCUCAACCCCGGACGUGCAUCCGAAACUGCCCGACUAGAGGUAGGUAGGGGAGAUCGGAAUUCCUGGUGUAGCGGUGAAAUGCGCAGAUAUCAGGAGGAACACCGGUGGCGAAGGCGGAUCUCUGGGCCUUACCUGACGCUGAGGCGCGAAAGCUAGGGGAGCAAACAGG
rnacentral:rRNA from 1 species